UACGGGGGGAGCAAGCGUUGUUCGGAUUUACUGGGCGUAAAGGGCGCGUAGGCGGCCAGCACAAGUCAGUUGUGAAAUCUCCGAGCUUAACUCGGAAAGGUCAACUGAUACUGUGCGGCUAGAGUGCGGAAGGGGCAACUGGAAUUCUUGGUGUAGCGGUGAAAUGCGUAGAUAUCAAGAGGAACACCUGCGGCGAAGGCGGGUUGCUGGGCCGACACUGACGCUGAGGCGCGAAAGCUAGGGAAGCAAACAGG
rnacentral:rRNA from 1 species